CCCCUCGAGUCACGUGACCCAGAAGGAGCCCAACAUGGCGCAGUCCUAGGCAGCUUCACCGUCGCCCGAGCCCGGGUGGGAGGUUGAGGCAGGAAAAGAAAGAAAGACAGAAAGACAGAAAGACAGAAAGAAGGAGGAAAAGGCGGGGGUCACUGCUUUGCACGAAAGAGGCGCAGGCGGGAAUCCGGCCCGGGAUUCCUGGCAGGGAGUGCCCCCAGCAUCACCAUGGUGAAGAUCUUUGUUGGGGGGCUUUCUCCCAUGGUCACGGCCGAAGAGCUGCGGAAGCUGUUUGAGCAGUACGGGCAGGUGAACGAGUGUGACAUUUUGAAGAAUUUUGCCUUUGUCCACAUGGAGAAGGAGGACGAGGCCCACCAGGCUAUCAGCACCCUGCACAAGAGCGAAUUCUACGGGGCCCACUUGACUGUGGAGUAUGCCACCUCCAAGAUCCGCAACGCCACCAAGAUCUACGUGGGAAAUGUCUCGGCCAAGGCCACCACCGCCCAGAUCCGCCAGCUCUUUGAGCGGUUUGGCAAAGUGGUGGAGUGCGAUAUUGUCAAGAACUUCGCCUUCGUCCACAUGGCCAAGGAGCGGGAAGCCAUGGACGCCAUCUUGAAUCUCAAUGACACCCCCCUGGAGGAUCAGAAAAUUUUUGUGACCCUUUCCAAGAGUAACAGUUCCCUCCGAGCCACGAAGGGGGCCUCCGUGCCCACCACACCCACCCCGACCCCCAGCUACUACUUCUCCAGGGGACGCGUGCCCCCCCCAGCGGCCACCUAUUCGGCCUACUGUCCCCGGGCCUGGUACGACCGGGAGUACUGCGACCAGUACACGUACGAGCUGUAUGACCGAGCGCGAGCAGCUUAUGACCGAGCCCUGCCCCCUGCCCCAGCUGCCUACAGAGAAAGGAGCCCUGUGGGCCGGAGGACAUCCACCCCCACCGCCGUAGUGGCCCAGUAUGCUGACCCCUAUGCCGCGGCUGCGGCUGCAGCUGCUGCAGCCGCUGCAACUGCCGCAGCAAACCAGACGUACAGCCACGCCUACAGCCAACCUGGGUACGCCGCUGCUGCAGCUGCUGCCACGUACUCUCAGUACAGUCUAGGAACCGCCUACAAUGUGGCAGAGUACUACGAGAGGUACGCCAGCGCUUAUGCUGCUCAGUACGCCCAGACGUUUUGAGUGUGCUGCAUCCCGUCCAGCAGCUCUUCCUGGGCAGACUGAGCGCAACGUCUCCUGGCCGAUCAGCCAAGCACUGACUCCCAAGCUGUUUCUGGAAGAAGCCAGGGGAUUUCGGAUGCCCCCCCAUCCUCCAAGCAGGGAGAGCUGAUCCGAAGCAACGCAGCGCCUUUUGUUCUGCUGACAAGAACUCAGAAGGUUCUCCGAGUACCCAAAGGGAAUAUCCUGUCCUUCUGUCACACUCUUAGAAUAGGCACUGGAAAACACACGGGGUGUUCUGAAAAUUGCUAUUUCCUCUUGGGCUCUUGGUGUUCUCGGAGCUCUGAGAAUACCAAGAACCCAACAGCUGAACCCUGAGUCACAUACCUUCCCUUCUAUUGGAAUUGCUGUUUUUGCACCCUGUAUCAACCCUCAGCUUCCAAAUCCUGAGAAAUUUGAGAUACAGGUAGUCCUCAACUUACGACCAUUCAUUUAACAACUGUUCAAAGUUACGAUGGUGCUGAAAAACAUGACUUGUGACCAGUCCUUGCGCUUACAACUGUCACCGUGUCCCUGCGAUCACAUGAUCAAAAUUCAGGUGCUUGGCAACUGGCAUGUAUUUACAACGGUUGCAGCAUCCCAGGGUCACCAUUUUCCACAUUCCCAGCUGGCUUCUGACAAGCAAAGUCAAUGGGGGAAGCCGGAUAUGUUUAAUAACUGUGAGAUUCGCUUAAUGACCACAGCAAAAAAGGUCGUAAAAUCAGGCGCGGCUCACUUAACGACUGCAUCGCUUAGCAAUGGAAGUUCCGGUCCCAAUUGUGGUCGUAAGUCAAGAACUGCCUGUACAUUGGAACUUGGAAUUCCAGACAGGCUGUGAGCUUGCUAGGAAUUCUGGGAGUUGAAGUCCCAAACUUCUGGGCUCCCUUCAGAUGAUGGAAAGCUGGUUUAGACUGCGAUAUGGUUUCUCCCCCUUAAUGCCUGCUCCUUGGAAGAAAUUCCACCCCCCACCCCCCAGGCAUCCCCCCACUACUGACCUGGGACAACUGGCUCUGUGCUUUUCUGCGAUCAGCCGCUGGAUCAUGACCCCUUGCAGGGGCCAGGAGAGAAGACAACUUUGGUGGGUAGGUGACGGGUUGGCAUAAGGAGGAGUACCUUAACAGAGAAAGGAGGGGGGGAGGGCAGCCAUGUUAAAGGCGACUUGGGAAUAGGGUGGGCAACUGGCAGGCCACACACAACCUCACGCCACUCUCAGCCACCAAAAUACAAGCUGGCUGCCUAUAGCUGUCUCUCAGUCUUCUGGUGAGGAUAAGAGGAAAGAUGGAGGCGAGAGAAAGGGUUCGUUCACCCAUCUGGGGCUAUGUCUGCAGGGUCUGAGAUCAAGGCCACAUUCACACAACCCACAGCCAAGUCUAGCCACUCUAGCAGCUCGGUUAAAUCAAAUGUUAAGUGGCCACUAACAGCAACUUUGGGGAGGGCUUGAGAACUGUGCCCAAAGUUUGCAGUGUGGGCACCAGCCUGGUGCUGCCAGAUGUGCUAGGGUGCCCAGACUGGAGAAUUCUGGGAGUUGUAAUCCUAACACCGUUGCGUUCUCAACACGCUUAGCCAGGUCUGUUACAAAUGUGACACCUGCAUUCACAGAACGGCUUGGAUAGUUUUCAAACUGGUUCGUUUUUCAUGUGCUUUGGAGGUCAAGUGGUUCUAGCCUGUUUGGUUAGCUUAUGGCUCAGGGUAUUGGGUGAACCCCCCCCAUGGGAUAUUAUUUAUUAUUAUUUGAUUUAUUAUAGCUCCUCCCUCCAAAAGACUCUGAGCAGCUUGCUUAUGAAAUGUACAUUUAAAACAAUAGCUGCCUGGACAAGUAGACUGCCACAACAGUCAAAAACCCAUGACGGGCUGCACUGGCACACUAGCGCCAGGCCUGGGAACAAAGCCAGAUCUUCAGGGCCUUCCAGAACCUUGGAAAGUGGGUGCCGUACGUAUCUUGCCAGGGGGGAUGCUAUUCCAGAUGGCAGGGGCUAUGACAGAGAAGGCACAUUCCUCAGAUGGCAAUGUUUAAUGGAGGGGGCCUGGGGUGCACCCACGCUGCCUGAACAUACUGGGGCAGGGGGCAGAAACAACUGGAGGCAGGCAGUCCCUCAAGGUACCAGGCCCUAUGCCCUGUAGGGCUUUAUAGGCGACUAGACAACCUGUGGCCCGUUGGGUCAUCGUUUCAGAGCUAUUUCCUUACCAGAUUCCUCAGUGCCUUCAACAAUGGCAGAGCUUCUAAUGUCCUGGAAAAGUUCUUAAAAAUUCAGGGAGAUAGUUAGAGAUGCACCUGCUUUGAAAGUAGCCUGUGUUGAACUGUAUAGCCCAGUCAAACAUCUGGAGUUGAAUUAUGCUUUAUGAAAAAAAUUAUGUCAUAAAAUGUUUUAUAACAUUUGCCAAAUUUCUAUUCCAUGGGAGUCCUGCGUCCCGGAUUUUGGACGCAUUCUGUAAGUUAGCCUAUUUGAGGUACCUUGGUUCAAAAAUUGUCACCCUACGAUGCACCAUUUUACCCAGUUAAAGGUUACAAAGUAUCAAACAGACAUAAGAGUUUUAGUAGUAUAUAGAUGACCUGCACCUUGAAUUGCACCCGGAAACUGAUGGGCAGCCUGUGCAGCUUGCAUUGCAGCCAUGACACAUGGGUAUAAGGAGAAGCACCCAUUACUGCUUGUAUUGCUGCAUUUUGAACCAGCUGUAGCUUCCAGAUGGUCUUCAAGGGUAGUCCCAUGCAGAGCUCAUUGCAGUAAUCCAACCGCAAGGUGACCAGGGUGUGAGUGUCUGUCCGGAG